AUUUAUAGUAGUAGAUGUGUUCGUUCAUUUGUAUGUUCAGGUUUCUCACAUUUACCAAUAUAAUUCCAAUUUUAUAUAAAUUCUAUGAAUGUGAAAAUUACAACAAUGGACAUACGUAUGCACGGAUUGCUGGCUAUAUUAUAACAUAUUAAAACGACAAAUAUAGCUGGCUCACUUGAGGGACCUCAAACCAAUCGCAGCUGGGCUCAGCUAGUUUACUGGGUAUAGCAGUCUCACUGGACGAAAUUUCAGGGCGAGAAACCCAUAUGAUGCCGUUGUGGGCUCAUUCAUAGAAAUCAAUAUUCCUCAAUACGGUGUUUGAAACUGUAAAGCAUGGAAUAUUGGAAAAAAGAUAGCAUUAUUUUUAUGAGUCUAUGAGCCCUUGACGCACAUAAGAUUCGUGGUAUUAAUUCUUUUCGUUUUCAAUGAGAAAUAUAUCCACAAAUGGAAUCUUCGGUUAUGUAACUUCAACUUUUCUUGAACAUUCCUUAUACUCAAAGUUUAUUGAAACACAGUUAUUUUGUGGUAUUCAUUGUGAACUGUAAUUAAUAUAAAUGUAUCACAUUUUCUCCGCAUUUCCUAAUAAUAAACCACUUACGGAGAGAUCCAUUAUCCACAACUCUCUUCAAUUUUAUACAAGAGAUUGUAAUAAAAGAAAGUGGUAUAAAAACCUAAUUAUAUAAUUAUAUAGAAAUAAAGACAAUUAAAAAACCGAUAAUGCUAUAAAUUGUAGUGGAAAUAUGAGCUAUAGAAUAGAAAAAUUGAGACAAAUGGAAUAUUUGGGACUCACUAUCACAAAUAAAGGAGUUCAAGAGAGAUAAAUAGGAUAGCGAAAAACAGGACCACUUUUCAGUGCUACAGGUUUUCUACGUAUUUCUGUAAUUUGGUGAACUUGUUUACCAACGACAGGGAAUAAUAUAGCCGGGUCACUACAGCGCAACAUUGUGUUGUACCAGCUAACCACUUUUUUAUGUUUAUUAACCAUGAAGUUAUUCAGACAUCAGUGAUAAGAAACAAAAACCGCAACGAAAACCAUCAAAAUCCACUAAUGUCCACGCUUUUCACUGAUCCAAUGGAACAGAGAAGACUGAAAAGACGCUGGCAUCAUAGAGUGAUCUACGGAGAACCCUCAGUGAAUGGUGCCCGCCUCAAGUCAUUUAGCAAGAAACAAUAUCAUGUAUCUAUUACUCUGUAUAUUUUUGAGUAGAUUGUAAAUUUGCAAUUGAAUUAUAAAUUAAAAAAAAUUCGUUACUCAAA